GGCGAACGCUGGCGGCGUGCCUAAUACAUGCAAGUUGAGCGCUGAAGGUUGGUACUUGUACCAACUGGAUGAGCAGCGAACGGGUGAGUAACGCGUGGGGAAUCUGUCUUUGAGCGGGGGACAACAUUUGGAAACGAAUGCUAAUACCGCAUAAAAACUUUAAACACAAGUUUUAAGUUUGAAAGAUGCAAUUGCAUCACUCAAAGAUGAUCCCGCGUUGUAUUAGCUAGUUGGUGAGGUAAAGGCUCAUCAAGGCGAUGAUACAUAGCCGACCUGAGAGGGUGAUCGGCCACAUUGGGACUGAGACACGGCCCAAACUCCUACGGGAGGCAGCAGUAGGGAAUCUUCGGCAAUGGACGAAAGUCUGACCGAGCAACGCCGCGUGAGUGAAGAAGGUUUUCGGAUCGUAAAACUCUGUUGGUAGAGAAGAACGUUGGUGAGAGUGGAAAGCUCAUCAAGUGACGGUAACUACCCAGAAAGGGACGGCUAACUACGUG
rnacentral:rRNA from 1 species